rnacentral:lncRNA from 1 species
AUGGUAUUGCUUGGGUUCUGGUGGCUCCUAUCUGUCUAUCUUCUGUUCUGGUGUUGUGAUGCCAGGCCACUAGUGAGGGGGAUAAUAUUAAGUGUGGAUGAUACGGAAAUGAUGUUUCAAUGGAAAAAACCUGGAGUUUGUGUCCUUUCUCAAGACAUUGACAAGGACAUAAUGGAUGUGGAGAACAGAAUCUUAUAUGUCACCUCAAAUAUAUAUAAGAAUCUUGCUAAGGAUCCUGAGUUGAGACAUG